rnacentral:rRNA from 1 species
GCGAAAGCGUGGGGAGCGAACAGGAUUAGAUACCCUGGUAGUCCACGCCGUAAACGGUGGGCGCUAGUUGUGCGAACCUUCCACGGUUUGUGCGACGCAGCUAACGCAUUAAGCGCCCCGCCUGGGGAGUACGAUCGCAAGAUUAAAACUCAAAGGAAUUGACGGGGCCCCGCACAAGCAGCGGAGCAUGCGGCUUAAUUCGACGCAACGCGAAGAACCUUACCAAGGCUUGAUAUAUACAGGAAUACGGCAGAGAUGUCGUAGCGGUUAAACGUCUGUAUACAGGUGGUGCAUGGUUGUCGUCAGCUCGUGUCGUGAGAUGUUGGGUUAAGUCCCGCAACGAGCGCAACCCUCGUUCUGUGUUGCCAGCAUUUAGUUGGGGACUCACAGGAGACUGCCGGGGUUAACUCGGAGGAAGGUGGGGAUGACGUCAAAUCAUCAUGCCCCUUAUGUCUUGGGCUGCACGCAUGCUACAAUGGCUGGUACAAAGGGCUGCAAUACUGCAAAGUGGAGCGAAUCCCAAAAAGCCAGUCUCAGUUCGGAUUGGGGUCUGCAACUCGACCCCAUGAAGUCGGAGUUACUAGUAAUCGUAGAUCAGCAACGCUACGGUGAAUACGUUCCCGGGGCUUGUACACACCGCCCGUCACAUCACGAAAGUCGGUAACACCCGAAGUCAGUGGCCCAACCGCAAGGAGGGAGCUGCCGAAG